AUACACCAAAAAAUUCUUUUCUGUCAGUUUCAGUGAGUUAUGACUGUUACCAAACCAGACCCUCACCAGAUAACAAGCAGAGUGUCACAUUUGUAUUUCAUUUACAGUGGAACCAACGUUUACAUUUUCUUAGUAGAAAAUAUGCCUCCUGUUACACACUUGUACACGUUUUGUUAUGCGACCCAUAUUACGACAGAUUAAGUGCAUUUCAAAUUAUUUUAUGAACGUUUCAAGUUACAAACAGGCUCAUGGAACGAAUUAGGUUUGUAACGUGAGGUACAACUGUCAUUUGAAAGGGAAUAUUUCCUUGUUUUCCGACAGUUUGGGCUGUAAAAA